ensembl:lncRNA
GAAGAGAACAGUUCAGACUCCACGCUGAUGAUGAUACGCUUCCUGGUGUCUCUUCUGUCAAAAAGCCCAUCGCGUAAUGCUAACGGUCAUGCUAACGGUCAUGCUAACGGUCAUGCUAACGGUCAUGCCGAUUACCACAUUCUGUCCAUCACACCGACGUUCACGAGCGUUUUUUUUUUAAUAAAGGGCAACCACGUCAUCCUUUUCUUAUGCAUUUAUAUACACAGCCAGCUCGUUACCAGUGUGUACAUAACACCUGCUGCAUAUGUCUGGCCACGCCCCGUUAAAGCCACAGGCGAUACUGUCGUCAAUCUGCGACGUUUACGUGGCACAAUAGGAAAGUGGCAUUUUACACACACACACACACACACACACACACGCAUCUCACAACGCUACUAGAGUCUCCUUCCAUAAAUCUUGAAUAAACAUCUCCUUAUUUGAAGAAAACUUCACCGUACAAGGUGCCUCGCUUGACUUUGGAGGUUUUUUAAAUAAUCCACCCGUCUGCUUCUCUCUCUCUCUCUCUCUCUCUCUCCACUUCUUCUCUGUAUGUUUUCUGCUCUCCACCUCCACUCAUCCUCUUCCUCGUCCUGGUUCUCUCCCAGCAGCAUGGCGCCUCUGUCCCGGCCGUCUGUUCUCCCAUCUGUGUGUUCGGUUUGGUUCACUGGCCUGAGAACGGCACUCACACCUCACACGAGGAGAACCGACAGGACGGGAAAAUAAAACACACGCGCAAAUCCGAGCGUAGAAAUUCAGUAUUUAUUUAACAGUAAUCAUUUUUUUCUUCAAACGUUCGAGACAGAUCUUUCUGAACGGAGGAGCUCAUGACGAGAGUAGGGAAAGAGAAUGGAGGAAGUUCUCUGGGUGUGUCGCUGUGUGUGUCACGCCGCGGUUGGGAUUAAUCUCAGCGCCGCAUUGCGAACUCGUGCUCCAACUUGGAAUUUCUGACCUCCGACUAGGGGGGGAAAAAAGCAAAGAAAACACCUCGUCGAUUUGGAAUUCCUACUCAGUUCAGCACUUGACUUCAUGUCAACAUGGCCGCUCAGACCGUCAACAUAACCUAAACAUCACUUAGCUACUUUAACUGCGCUUAUAACAGUGUUUACUUCGGAUCAAAUGACCAUAGUCUCAUUCCUCGGUGAAAUCAGUAACAGUGUUUUGUGAAAGCAAAUACAUCAUAAACUCACGCUCAUUAACGUUAGCUAGCUUUGUUGGUAACACACUUUCGUAGGGGUGUCAUUUUUUUUUCACACUUUCAAACUAAGUUUAAUAACCGAUGAAAACCGAUAGUGAAUGAAAACGUAACACUCAAAGCUUGACGGCUGGACCGUGAAAAUGUCCUGUACUUUUUCAAUGAAAUAAAUAUAAAUUAAUAUAUAUAAACUAUUAAUAAGUAUUUAAAUAAAUAAAAGAUACACAUCCAAACUGAACCAAAAAGUAACACUUUACAAAUUUUAAUUUGUACAAACACUUUAAAUAACGAAUAAAACCGAGACGUCCAAAAUGAAUCAAAAAAACACUUCAAAUAACGCACAAAAUGAGUCAGCAAUGGGUUUUAUUUCGCCUCUAGAGGCCGCUCUCGUACCGUAUGAUGGUGGUGUGGAUUUUUUUUCCCAUAACCGAUACUUCCAGCGAUCAGUUCUGGGUGCUGAUUAAUCAGGAAAACCGAUCAAUCGACCGACCUCUACUGUCUAAUUAAUACUGACACGAUCCCGAGUUCAGACGUCCCGCUUCAGAGUUCAGACGUGUACACAGAUGUAUACGCAGACGUGUAGAUGUGUACACAGACGUAUACACAGACGUGUAGAUGUGUACACAGACGUGUAGAUGUACGUAUACACAGAUGUGUAGAUGUGUACACAGACGUGUAGACAUGUACACAGACGUAUACAUAGACGUGUAGACGUGUACACAGACAUGUACACAGACGUGUAGACGUGUACACAGACGUAUACACAGACGUGUAGACGUAUACACAGACGUAUACACAGAUGUGUAGACGUGUGCACAGACAUGUAGACAUGUACACAGACGUAUACACAGACGUGUAGACGUGUACACAGACAUGUACACAGACGUGUAGACGUGUACACAGACGUUAUACAUAGACGUGUAGACUUGUACACAGACGUGUACACAGACAUGUAGACGUAUACACAGACGUAUACACAGAUGUGUAGAAGUGUACACAAACGUGUAGAUGUACGUAUACACAGACGUGUAGAUGUGUACACAGACGUGUAGACGUGUACACAGACGUCUACAGUACACAGACGUGUAGACGUGUACACAGACGUAUACACAGACGUGUAGAUGUGUACACAGACGUGUAGAUGUGUACACAGACGUGUAGACGUGUACACAGACGUUUAAUAUUGAUACACAACUGCUGGACAUGUAAAAGUCGCGUUCAGUUGUGUUAGCGUUUUUUUUUUUAUUGCUUGUGGUUAGCUGUUUUAAAUCUGUUCCACUCUCUCUCUCUGAGAAACACUUCCCCCUUUUCCUUUUUUAAUCUGAUAAUUCCUUAUUUUAGACAGCAGAGAGCCUGUGCUGGAGCUCACCAG